CCCCUAGAUGUUCUGGGCCGCACGCGCGCUACACUGAACAGUUCAACAAGUCUUAACCUUGGCCGAUAGGUCUGGGUAAUCUUUGAACGCUGUUCGUGAUUGGGAUAGACCUUUGCAAUUAUGGGUCUUCAACGAGGAAUUCCUAGUAAACGCAAGUCAUCAGCUUGCGUUGAUUACGUCCCUGCCCUUUGUACACACCGCCCGUCGCACCUACCGAUUGAAUGGUCCGGUGAAAUCUCCGGACUGGCGUGAGUCGGAGCAAUCUGACAAGCGCCGGAAAGUUGAUUAAACCUUACCAUUUAGAGGAAGGUGAAGUCGUAACA
rnacentral:rRNA from 1 species